CUUCUUGAAUUGUUUUGAGGUCGUGCCUGCCCACUGAUUGAUUUGAAGGGCCGCGGUAUUUUGACCGUGCAAAGGUAGCAUAAUCAUUAGUCUUUUAAUUGUGGACUGGAAUGAAUGGUUUGACGAAAUGAACAUUGUCUCUUUAAUAAAUAAUGAAUUUCACUUUUGAGUUAAAAGGCUCAAUUGAAGGUUGGGGACGAGAAGACCCUAUAGAUCUUUAUUUUUAGUUUAAUUAUUUGUUUGUAGUUAUAAGUGAAAAGUUAUUGAAUUGAAAAUUUUGUUGGGGUGACGUAAGAAUGUUAUGAACUUCUUUAUUUUUAUUUACUUUGAUUGAUGGUUUUUUGAUCCUUUAAUAUGGAUGUUAGAUUAAGAUACCUUAGGGAUAACAGCGUUAUUUUAUUUGAGAGUUCUUAUUGACAAUAAAGAUUGCGACCUCGAUGUUGGAUUAAGAUUAUAUUUUGGUGUAGUAGCUAAAAAUAUUGGUCUGUUC
rnacentral:rRNA from 1 species